UACAGAGGGGGCAAGCGUUAUUCGGAAUUAUUGGGCGUAAAGGGCGCGUAGGCGGCCUGGCAAGUGGAAGGUGAAAUCCCUCGGCUUAACCGAGGAACUGCCCUCCAAACUGCUUGGCUUGAGUCCGGGAGAGGUGAGUGGAAUUCCCAGUGUAGCGGUGAAAUGCGUAGAUAUUGGGAGGAACACCAGUGGCGAAGGCGACUCUCUGGCCUGUAACUGACACUGAGGCGCGAAAGCGUGGGUAGCGAACAGG
rnacentral:rRNA from 1 species